rnacentral:lncRNA from 1 species
UAUGCGUUUACUUUACAAAGUAAAUGAGAGACUUGGCAACACCCUUGUUUACAAAAGGCCCCAGAGAAUGGGCCCCAGAGGUCCAGGGGGCAUUGAGAAGCCUGGAUCAGUGAGUGCCUGCUUUGUUCAUUGAGUUCAGAAGUCUUUGCUGGCCACUAUCAAUUCAAUAGUAGUAGUAGUAGUAGUAGUAGUAGCAGCAGCAGCAGCAGCAGCUGCAGUAGUAACAGUAGCAGCAUUAGUAGUAGUAGUAAUUGCUGUUAUUAUUGUCAUUUGUCCUUUGUUCUAGAAGAGGACCAUGACAUCUGGAAGAUGAUACCAUGAUUUGGAUGUAAAUUAGAUUUAAGUGAGGGAGGGCUGUGCAAGGUCACCAGUCUCACUUUCUCCUCCCAAGGCAUCUGGGUCCAGUGGUAAGAUACAGAUCAGGACAACUGGAGAUGGCCCCCAGUAGUAGGAGUAGGAGUAGUAAUAGUAGUACUCACUGUUGUCAGGGAAAGGAGAGUUUGCUGACUCAUGACUCUGGGUUGGGGGACACCACACCCUGGGAAUUUCCUUGGGUCUCAGAGGAAGUGAAAGAGACGUUCUAGUGAAAGAGAGCCGUUGGGAUCUGUUCUCCACCAUGUCCGUUGUCCUUGACCUCUGACCACCACCAAAUGGCUUCCCCACCCCCAUUAGUCUCUACCACUCCUGCCCACUCCGACCCCUCAUCCAAACCCUCUUGGUCUCCUUUUCAUUCUCUGUCUCUCCACAUGGUCUUGAUCUCCAUACCAUCUCCCCCCUCCCCAAUUAGUCCCCUGCACUACAUGGUCUAUCCCUCUCCUCUAUUGGUCUCCAUUUUAUUCCAUUUCCUCACUGUUCUCUGUUCUAACACCCACAGGGCCCAGGACCUUUCUCCUACUUCAUCGUUUCCCCUCCAUUUCUCCCUUUUCCUCUCUCUUUAAUACCCCCGCCCUUCCCUUAGAGUUCCGAUUCAUCAUCCCCUUGGGUACCCAGUACCUGACAGCCUUCCCCUUUGGUCUCGGUUUCUCCCUUGUUGGUCAACCGUCCUCCCCACUGGUGUCCCACACAUUCCAUUCCUUCCUGUUUCCGUUUUUUUGCUUUCCGUUUCAUUCCAUACCUGCCUCACCUCCGUUCUAUACGCACCCCCAGCCCAGCCCCGGGUCCGUUGGGGGUCUGUUGGGGCUUCCCGCUGGCCAAACAGAAGUCCCAGCCCUGGUGAGGCACCAGCGUCCUGGCCGCUGCCCCCCAGACCCGGCAGUCCACCCAUCCAGCUCCCUUUGGAACCUGGCACUGCCCCUGCCCCUCCUCGGGGUCGCUGCUACCGCCUGGGGCUGCAUUGGCUACAAAGAGGCUCAGGCUACCGCGCAAAGGGUCUGCGGCUGGCCCCGGAGGAAGCAGUGCUGAGGGCUCUGGGGACAGAAGGCCAAUCCCUGCUCUCCUCUCUGGACCUCUGGGCCUGCAGGAGUUCAGGCCCAUUGCUGAAAGGCUGAGGAAAAUCAACAGACUAGAGGUGGAUGGAUGAUGAACAUGAGAGAAGAGGAAACAUUGUGGCAUCACCUUAAAGUAAAGCUUCAUUUUCCCACCUGAGGAAUAGCCCACCUGCUCCUCCACGGCAGGAUGAGGACAAGAGAGGACACAUGAGAAAAUCCCUGGACCUGGCAAAGUGCUGCAGAAAUGCUGGAAACCAUUAUUAAUGGUCACUAUCACCAAAGAGUAAUACUCAUUGACUGACCAAGCCAAUGACCAGCCUCCUCAGACCCCCAAGCUCCUUUUGUCAUGGGUUUUAGUAUGAUCUCAGCUGCUCUCAAAAAUGGAAUUUCAGAUACUUUUAGGUUGCAGUUUACAAAUGUGUAAAUAAUAAAAGCUAGUAGGACCUCA